GACGAACGCUGGCGGCGUGCUUAACACAUGCAAGUCGAACGGAAAGGCCCUGCUUUUGUGGGGUGCUCGAGUGGCGAACGGGUGAGUAACACGUGAGUAACCUGCCCUUGACUUUGGGAUAACUUCAGGAAACUGGGGCUAAUACCGGAUAGGAGCUCCUGCUGCAUGGUGGGGGUUGGAAAGUUUCGGCGGUUGGGGAUGGACUCGCGGCUUAUCAGCUUGUUGGUGGGGUAGUGGCUUACCAAGGCUUUGACGGGUAGCCGGCCUGAGAGGGUGACCGGCAAAAUGGGGACUAGGAGAGGGCCCGGACUCCUACGGGAGGCAGCGGUGGGGAAUUUUGAACAGGGGGGGGAAGCUUGAUGCAGCAACGCCGCGUGCGGGAGGGCGGCUUGGGGGUUGAAACCCUCUUUCGCCGGUGACGAGGGGGGGGUGAGGGGAGGGGAUAAAGAAGCACCGGCUAACUACGGG
rnacentral:rRNA from 1 species